rnacentral:rRNA from 1 species
GUAACACGUGAACAAUCUACCUUAAAGUUGGGGAUAGCUCGGGGAAACUCGAAUUAAUACCGAAUGUGGUUUCUCCUCGCAUGUGGAGGAUACCAAAGCUCGCAAUGGCGCUUUAAGAGGGGUUCGCGGCCUAUCAGCUUGUUGGUGAGGUAACGGCUCACCAAGGCUAAGACGGGUAGCUGGUCUGAGAGGAUGAUCAGCCACACUGGAACUGAGACACGGUCCAGACACC